rnacentral:rRNA from 1 species
AGUGGGGAAUAUUGGGCAAUGGAGGGAACUCUGACCCAGCGACGCCGCGUGCGGGAUGAAGGCCUUCGGGUUGUAAACCGCUUUCAGCAAGGAAGAAGCGAAAGUGACGGUACUUGCAGAAGAAGCACCGGCUAACUAUGUGCCAGCAGCCGCGGUAAUACAUAGGGUGCAAGCGUUGUCCGGAAUUAUUGGGCGUAAAGAGCUCGUAGGUGGUUCGUCACGUCGGAUGUGAAAAUCUGGGGCUUAACCCCAGACCUGCAUUCGAUACGGGCGAGCUAGAGUGUGGUAGGGGAGACUGGAAUUCCUGGUGUAGCGGUGGAAUGCGCAGAUAUCAGGAGGAACACCAAUGGCGAAGGCAGGUCUCUGGGCCAUUACUGACACUGAGGAGCGAAAGCGUGGGGAGCGAACAGGAUUAGAUACCCUAGUAGUCCGGUCA